rnacentral:misc_RNA from 1 species
CCAUGUAAAACACCAGUCACAACGAGGUCAUGAGGCAUUCUGUUGACUGGAUUCAACUCUCAAGCACUUUCAGAGGGAAGAGUACUCUGAAUGUUCGAAGGCAUCAAUAUGUUGAAACCAUCACUGGCAGUAGAUACGAGCAUACCAGGAAUCUGACCAUGCCAAUGAAGUUCUUUCAAAUCUUUUUGCCCCUGAUGAACAAACAGAAGCUGAGGGGGUAUAUCAGCUGGAGCAUUCACUUGCUCAUUUAUUUUAGCUCUAAACUCUGCUUCCUCUUCCUCAUCCUUCUCUAAAGAGAGGUCCCAUAUUGUUAACUGAUUUUCAGAUGAUGAAACUGCCAAAACAGAGGCUUCAUGUGGACUCCACUCAAUGGAUGUUACAGGGUGCUUAUGGUAUUCAAAAUGUGCCACGACUGAUUUAUCUUCUUCCUGCUUUUGUGAUAACAAUCUAAGAUCACGAAUGGAAAAUAUCCCGUCAUCACUUCCAGAUGCCAGCAUAACACUAGCCAACCUGUUCCAUGAAAUAACAUUCACAUCUGCAUUAUGUGCCUUGAAAGAAAUUGCUGGUGACUUCCCCAAGCGGAUAUCCCAUAUUGCAAUACUUCCAUCAACAGAACAAGAGGCAAAUACCUCAUCUUCCGUAGGACUCCACUGUAGAUCUUCCACACUUGCAGAAUGCCCAAUAAAUGGGGCAUUACUAAUAUUCCAUGUUGCACCAGAUGUAGGCUCCCAUAAAUGAAUACAAUUCUUGCAGUCACCAGACACCAGCCUUCCAGUGACACGAGGACUCCAAUCUAUUGCAUAACCUUCAUCUUUGUGCCCUCCAAACUUAAUUAAAGGAGCCUGAGAAACUGAAGAGCCUCCCUGGUUAACUUCU